GUGCUCGUUUCGGCAGCACAUAUACUAAAAUUGGAACGAUACAGAGAAGAUUAGCAUGGCCCCUGCGCAAGGAAAAGACCCUGAUGUUGAGAAAGAUUGAAGGCAAAA